rnacentral:rRNA from 1 species
UGUCAGCCGCCACGGUAAUACGGAGGGUGCAAGCGUUAUCCGGAUUCACUGGGUUUAAAGGGAGCGUAGGUGGGCUGAUAAGUCAGUGGUGAAAUCUCCGGGCUUAACCCGGAAACUGCCAUUGAUACUAUCAGUCUUGAAUUAUCUGGAGGUAAGCGGAAUAUGUCAUGUAGCGGUGAAAUGCUUAGAUAUGACAUAGAACACCAAUUGCGAAGGCAGCUUGCUACGGAUUGAUUGACACUGAGGCUCGAAAGCGUGGGGAUCAAACAGGAUUAGAUACCCUGGUAGUCCACGCCCUAAACGAUGGAUACUCGACAUCAGCGAUACACUGUUGGUGUCUGAGCGAAAGCAUUAAGUAUCCCACCUGGGAAGUACGACCGCAAGGUUGAAACUCAAAGAAAUUGGCGG